rnacentral:rRNA from 1 species
UACGUAGGUGGCAAGCGUUGUCCGGAUUUACUGGGCGUAAAGAGCGCGCAGGCGGUCGGAUCAGUCGAAUGUGAAAGCCCCCGGCUCCAACUGGGGAGGUCAUUCGAUACUGUCCGACUCGAAGGCAGGAGAGGGAAGCGGAAUUCCGGUGUAGUGGUGAAAUGCGUAGAUAUCGGGAGGAACACCUGUGGCGAAAGCGGCUCACUGGACCACAACUGACGCUGAUGCGCGAAAGCUAGGGGAGCAAACAGGG